AAAUUGAAGAGUUUGAUCAUGGCUCAGAUUGAACGCUGGCGGCAGGCCUAACACAUGCAAGUCGAACGGUAACAGGAAGAAGCUUGCUUCUUUGCUGACGAGUGGCGGACGGGUGAGUAAUGUCUGGGAAACUGCCUGAUGGAGGGGGAUAACUACUGGAAACGGUAGCUAAUACCGCAUAACGUCGCAAGACCAAAGAGGGGGACCUUCGGGCCUCUUGCCAUCGGAUGUGCCCAGAUGGGAUUAGCUAGUAGGUGGGGUAACGGCUCACCUAGGCGACGAUCCUAGCUGGUCUGAGAGGAUGACCAGCCACACUGGAACUGAGACACGGUCCAGACUCCUACGGGAGGCAGCAGUGGGGAAUAUUGCACAAUGGGCGCAAGCCUGAUGCAGCCAUGCCGCGUGUAUGAAGAAGGCCUUCGGGUUGUAAAGUACUUUCAGCGGGGAGGAAGGGAGUAAAGUUAAUACCUUUGCUCAUUGACGUUACCCGCAGAAGAAGCACCGGCUAACUCCGUGCCAGCAGCCGCGGGUAAUACGGAGGGUGCAAGCGUUAAUCGGAAUUACUGGGCGUAAAGCGCACGCAGGCGGUUUGUUAAGUCAGAUGUGAAAUCCCCGGGCUCAACCUGGGAACUGCAUCUGAUACUGGCAAGCUUGAGUCUCGUAGAGGGGGGUAGAAUUCCAGGUGUAGCGGUGAAAUGCGUAGAGAUCUGGAGGAAUACCGGUGGCGAAGGCGGCCCCCUGGACGAAGACUGACGCUCAGGUGCGAAAGCGUGGGGAGCAAACAGGAUUAGAUACCCUGGUAGUCCACGCCGUAAACGAUGUCGACUUGGAGGUUGUGCCCUUGAGGCGUGGCUUCCGGAGCUAACGCGUUAAGUCGACCGCCUGGGGGAGUACGGCCGCAAGGUUAAAACUCAAAUGAAUUGACGGGGGCCCGCACAAGCGGUGGAGCAUGUGGUUUAAUUCGAUGCAACGCGAAGAACCUUACCUGGUCUUGACAUCCACAGAACUUUCCAGAGAUGGAUUGGUGCCUUCGGGAACUGUGAGACAGGUGCUGCAUGGCUGUCGUCAGCUCGUGUUGUGAAAUGUUGGGUUAAGUCCCGCAACGAGCGCAACCCUUAUCCUUUGUUGCCAGCGGUCCGGCCGGGAACUCAAAGGAGACUGCCAGUGAUAAACUGGAGGAAGGUGGGGAUGACGUCAAGUCAUCAUGGCCCUUACGACCAGGGCUACACACGUGCUACAAUGGCGCAUACAAAGAGAAGCGACCUCGCGAGAGCAAGCGGACCUCAUAAAGUGCGUCGUAGUCCGGAUUGGAGUCUGCAACUCGACUCCAUGAAGUCGGAAUCGCUAGUAAUCGUGGAUCAGAAUGCCACGGUGAAUACGUUCCCGGGCCUUGUACACACCGCCCGUCACACCAUGGGAGUGGGUUGCAAAAGAAGUAGGUAGCUUAACCUUCGGGAGGGCGCUUACCACUUUGUGAUUCAUGACUGGGGUGAAGUCGUAACAAGGUAACCGUAGGGGAACCUGCGGUUGGAUCACCUCCUUA
rnacentral:rRNA from 1 species